rnacentral:piRNA from 1 species
UAGGCAGGUUUUGGAGCUAAUCUGACUUA